rnacentral:rRNA from 1 species
GACGAACGCUGGCGGCGUGCUUAACACAUGCAAGUCGAACGGAAAGGCCCUGCUUUUGUGGGGUGCUCGAGUGGCGAACGGGUGAGUAACACGUGAGUAACCUGCCCUUGACUUUGGGAUAACUUCAGGAAACUGGGGCUAAUACCGGAUAGGAGCUCCUGCUGCAUGGUGGUGGUUGGAAAGUUUCGGCGGUUGGGGCUGGACUCGCGGCUUAUCAGCUUGUUGGUGGGGUAGUGGCUUACCAAGGCUUGGACGGGUAGCCGGCCUGAGAGGGUGACCGGCCACAGUGGGACAGAGAUAGGGCCCGGACGCCAACGGGAGGCAGGAGUGGGGAAUAGUGGACAAUGGGCGGAAGCCUGAUGCAGCAACGCCGCGUGCGGGAUGACGGCCUUCGGGUUGUAAACCGCUUGCGCCUGUGACGAAGCGUGAGUGACGGUAAUGGGUAAAGAAGCACCGGCUAACUACGU